rnacentral:rRNA from 1 species
GAUUAACGCUGGCGGCGUGCAUAACACAUGCAAGUCGAACGAAGUGGCGGACGGGUGAGUACCGCGUGAGUCACCUGCCGUCGAGAAGCGGAUAGCCUUUGGACACAAAGCAUAAGACCCUAUACUCUAAGAUGGACUUGCGUCUGAUUAGUUCGUUGGGUAGGUACCGGCCCACCAAGACAGCGAUCAGUAGCCGGCUUGAGAGCGUGUACGGCCACAUUGGGAAGGAGACACGGCCAAGACUCUGCGGGAGGCAGCAGUGGGUAAUUUUGCACAAUGGGGGAAAACCUGAUGCAGCGACGCCGCGGGAUUUAGAAGGCCUUCGGUGAGUAAAAAUCUUUGCUAUGGUAAUCAGUACCAUAUGAAUAAGGACCGGCUAAGUACGUGCCAGCAGCCGCGGUAAUAC